UAGGGAAUCUUCGGCAAUGGGGGCAACCCUGACCGAGCAACGCCGCGUGAGUGAAGAAGGUUUUCGGAUCGUAAAGCUCUGUUGUAAGUCAAGAACGGGUGUGAGAGUGGAAAGUUCACACUGUGACGGUAGCUUACCAGAAAGGGACGGCUAACUACGUGCCAGCAGCCGCGGUAAUACGUAGGUCCCGAGCGUUGUCCGGAUUUAUUGGGCGUAAAGCGAGCGCAGGCGGUUUGAUAAGUCUGAAGUUAAAGGCUGUGGCUCAACCAUAGUUCGCUUUGGAAACUGUCAAACUUGAGUGCAGAAGGGGAGAGUGGAAUUCCAUGUGUAGCGGUGAAAUGCGUAGAUAUAUGGAGGAACACCGGUGGCGAAAGCGGCUCUCUGGUCUGUAACUGACGCUGAGGCUCGAAAGCGUGGGGAGCGAACAGGAUUAGAUACCCUGGUAGUCCACGCCGUAAACGAUGAGUGCUAGGUGUUGGAUCCUUUCCGGGAUUCAGUGCCGCAGCUAACGCAUUAAGCA
rnacentral:rRNA from 1 species